rnacentral:rRNA from 1 species
UACGAAGGGGACUAGCGUUGUUCGGAAUUACUGGGCGUAAAGCGCGCGUAGGCGGAUCGCUAAGUCAGGGGUGAAAUCCCAGGGCUCAACCCUGGAACUGCCUUUAUACUGACGAUCUGGAGAUCGGGAGAGGUUGGUGGAAUUCCGAGUGUAGAGGUGAAAUUCGUAGAUAUUCGGAGGAACACCAGAAGCGAAGGCGGCCAACUGGCCCGAUACUGACGCUGAGGCGCGAAAGCGUGGGGAGCAAACAGG